AAAACCCAACAACAGCAAUAAUAACAGCAACUGCAGCACGUGCAAUUAAUAGAUGCUCUCCAUCUCUCUCUCUCUCCGCCAUUUGGUUUCUCUCUCGCUUCUGCAAUGUACCGUUGUAGCGUUGCAAUUCAAGAUGCCUCUCUGGUUGGCUGUUGCAUACUUCUCGGCGUCAGGAAGAGGUCUGCGUGUAUGUGUUGGCAUUUUUGUUUGGUAAACUGCAUAUACAACAAUACAAUAAGCAAGACACCGACUGAGGAAUGGGGAUCUGGGGUCCUUUACAUACCACUCUAUGUAGCAUGAAUGAAAUUUCGGCGCAUGCCAUUUGAUGGCCUCGCUAUAAAAGUCAGAUAGGCCAUGUGCACGGGCUCAGUUGAGUCUCAACAACCAGAGUCCCGACUUCGAGUUUAACUCCAUCUCCCAAGAAGCCAGCAUAGCCGCCAAAAAACGGAAACAAAAAAAAUACUACGGCCAAAUCUAGUUGAAGAGUAAAUCUAUCUCACCAAGUCGAAUUUUCUUGAGUUCCCAAGCGACGGCAAUUGGCUGAGCCAAAAAUUUCUGAAGUGAGUGCGAGCCUCGCGCUCAUCAAGAAACAUCAUCCUAUCAGGAUUCUCAGUUCUAAGCUUCAAUAUCAAAGCCACCACAACCAUUUCACUGCUCCAUCAGUCAGUUCGAUUGGGUCGAACCUACUGUAAGUAAAACACCAUGAGUUCGCCGAUGAAAACACAGGUCGCACGAUCUCAAACGCAAGGAUACAAAAAUGAUCUCUUGAAGCGAUACAAAUCAACGAAAUCAUGCCCUAAUAGGGCCAAAUAUCAAAACAUAGAAAAAUAAUGUCAUAAACCGCUAAUUACAGCAAUCAAUCGAUAUGUAACCAAUUGUAGGGCCACUAAGUAUGCCGAUAGUCAAUGUAUUAGCCAUAUCUUUUAGCAUUUAGUAAACUUUACUUAAACCAUCACAAACCAGGGACAAUGCAUCUAAAUAGGCAAUUUAGUUCAUAAGAUCAACUACAAUUAAAUAACAUUCACUGUAAGACUCCGAAUCCGAACAAUUAGGGCUCAAAGAAAGACAACCAAUUGAUAUCGUUCGCACUUAAAGUUUUCAUAAAUCCCGCUGCAAGAGCUAAACAUUGGCACGAUCCGCUUGAUCCGGGGCUUGUGAUCCGCUCAAAACGUUUCGAUUCCAACAAAAUUAUCCGGGAAAUCUAUAAGAUAUGGGUGUCCGAACUUGCUGAUCGCGUGCGUGGAAAAACUGCCUUGAAAUGGAGGCCAGGGUCCGGACCUUUGCCGUAACCGGGUUCUACGAGCCGUGCGUCAAGCGGCAGUCGCCCCUCGCGUCGGUUGGGCGGGUGGUGGGUAACGAUUUACCGUUACACGUUGGGAAUGCGUUCGCAAAUAAAAAUUUGCGAUUUCGCGAUUUUAAAGAGGCUUACAAAUGAGAAUUAUUUAACUCUUAAGUAAUGUUUUUUAUCUUCCUAUAUAUUUAUGUCUUCCUAUAAAGCAUUCUGCAUGUUACUUAUUGGUUGAAAGUACAAAGCUUUUUAAUAUACAAAGUUGAUUUUAGACAUUUUUUUUAAAAAGAAAAUCACCUAGUAAAAUGUUUUAUUAUGCACGUUGAUUUUACUAUAUGUAUGUAUAUUAUCAUUAUAAUAUUUAAUAGCCUCAAAUCGUAGAACAUAACAGACAUUUCCAGUUAGAAUCGAACUCUUUAUGAGUGCAGAAGGAUUAAUCCUAUGUGGAUUUUAUAGUUCUUGAAAGAUAACCUACAGAAAUGGUCUUCUAUCAUUUUUGGCUUAUUAGGUUGUAGGUAAAGUGAGUUGAUUAGAUACUUUCGUAAAAAAAGUACACAGUUCUUGAAAACAUUUGGGAGACUUCCUGGGACGCCUUCUGGUAUAGGCAAUCCUUCCCUUUCCCAGAUGCAAACCUUGUUAACGCUUCUGGCGACGUCAACGGCGUCCACCCAAGAAAUGCAUAUUUAGUCAAGUGUUAAUAAUGUGGCUGCCACCGAGGGAUCGUCCCUUCGGCAGGAUGAGUUUUCCAGCCCGACUUUUGGGUUUUGGUUGGGCGGGAAAGGUGCAAGCGUGCGUUAAGCCAAGGAGCUCACGCAAGGCAAACAAAUACGGGGAGACACAAACAAAUGGGACAAAGGGAUAAAAAAUACAAAACAAAGGAAAAGUGAAGAAAAAUAAAAGGAAAAACUUGCCUGUCCGAACGGCCUCGCUGCCAGGGUCGCGAAUUAUAUUUCAUUGAGUUGUUCUGUCGCCUGUGGAUGUGGGAGAAAACAUAAAUAAAAAAUUAAAAUCAAAAGAAUGCAGAAAGAAGCAAACGAAAUGCAUAACUAAACGAGGAAUGGAGGUUGCAAGUUGGGGCUGCUGUUAAUUUUUUUUUUAUUCAAAAUGUGCCCUUCUCGAGAUUUUAAGAAAGUUGCGACGUUUAUUUAUUUCCGCAUUGCCGAGGUCCUUUCUUUACAUUUCCCUUCACUGUCUUGGGAUUUCUUUUGUUAUCAGUUUUUCGAGGAGUGGUAAUGUUGAUUUUUAUGCUUACGGCCUGCAUUUGAGUUGAUAAUGAAGGCAGACAUUAUAAAUACACCCCCUGUCCAUUUUCCGCACGGAUUUUAAUUUAGUGGUCUAUAAUUAAAAGCACUGCGUUGGCGGCAAUGUCAGGUGGCCAAUUUGCACACAAUAAAAAAACGAGAAAAGGAAAGUCACUGUCAUUGGAAAUCCCGCAGAUACAAUUUACCUUUCUACGUCACGUAGUUUCAACGUCAAUUGCCCAGUUCGCCGCGGCUAUUUGGUGGAAUGGAUGAUGGGUCCUGAACAUUGAACGCACUCACACGGAAAUUACAAUGACAGGCAGUUCACAGUCAGGGGCGUAGACACAAAGGGGGUUUUCUACGCGGAAAGUUCGAUUUUUAAAAAUGGAAUUACUAUAACUGAAGUAUUAUAGAAGUAUUAUUAUUAGUAGUAUUUUUGUGUAUGACCUCCAUAUUAUGAUUUGUUGUGCUAUGUCGAUUAAUAUCCCAUCUACUUCAUCCUACACCCCUGUUGUAAAAAAACUGACAGGACUGAAAGUAUCUCGUGGAUAGCCUGCCGCAGGCAAUUGGCCACCCACUUGAAAAUUUAUGUGUUAAUUUUAAGGUGCCCAACGAGAGGAGGAAGUGGGCAACUUCUGGAGGUAUUUUCGCCUUUAUACAUUUCUUUUUUCCGCCUUUUUGUAUUGGGCAGCAUUUUUCACAAAGUUUUUGCAGGUGCUGCCAGGGUCAGGCGCCUUUUGGUGUGUAAUAAAUGAGCUAAUAAUAAGUGAAAUGUGCUUUUGAGUGACCCUAAACAAUUGCCCCGAAGAGAAAAUGGUCGAGGAAGCAAAAUUGAGGAGAAAAGGAAAAUCCCGUAAAAAUUGCUGCGAAAUUUCGGUUGGGCAGCUAAAAAAUGCGGCAAAGUGUCGGAAAUUCCUUUCGUGACAUGAAAAGAUUUGUUUAUAAUUAAUUUUCACCUCGCCAGCAUUUCCAUUUUUUCCCAUUUGUUUUAAGCUAGAAAAUUUGGUUAUCGCCAAAGUUCGAAACAUGUGUUGCCGAAGCUUAUUAAUUACACGAAUUCCAUUGGUCAGCAUUUUUUUUUUAGGGUAUAUUGGGAAAAAGCAAUUUGCAAAAGACUUUAAUAUAGCAUACCUAUUAGGGUAACGCCAAAAAAUUCUCAGUACAGAGCAUGUUAUAAUUCGAUCUUAAAACACACUAAAUUAAUAGCUAUUUUAUUUUAAAUAUUUACUAUUUUAACCGAACUAUGAAGUACACAUUUAACCAUUUGUUUCACUUUCCUAGCCCUAGUCAUAUUAGUGAAAUAUGCACCUCAGUUUCGACAUUUAUGAGUGGUUCAAUGUGUUGACUGCUUUUGAGGAAAGUUGGGGAACACCAAGGGGAAAAUAACAAAAGCCACAAAAGACAAGUGUUGAUGUGUCGAAGAGGAACAAUAUGCAAAAAAAAAAAAAAAAACAUCGGGAACGUAAAAAACAGUGGCAGAAAAAUGAGAAAAACGAGGUGGAGAAAGAAUUUGUAUCCGCUUGUUGCAAAUUCCAAUCAAUUUUUGUUGUUCUUACGGACGAGAUGAGGGCGACUCAUUUGCCGGAAAAUUGAGUAGACAUGCAUAUCCGCAGACGAACGGAAAUGGUCAAGAUGCAGGUUCGAACAGGGCCAUCAAUUAGACUUUUUUCGGCAUUUGCUGCUCCGCUGUGGGUCCUUUGUCUUGGACGUUGGAGUUCGGCCUGUUUGGUUAACAAGAUGGAGCUGACAGAGCCGCAGGUUAUGGCUAAGGACCAACGUCAUUGAGACAAGCUGGUUGGCCCAGCAAACAAACAAACAAACCGCGUCCCUUUCUCCUCAAAAUUUCCUUGUUUGGCAACUUUUGCGGCCAAAAUGGAAUUUUGCGUUUGCCUAACUGGCAAAAAAUUGGCCAAGUAGUUGGGUGGUGGUGGUAAGGAUGUCCCGGUGUACUGUUCCUUCUCCAUAUGGCAUGUUUUGAUGUGUGGCAAAGUCUGCUGUGAAUUGGAAAUCGAAGUUAAUAUGCUCCGCAGACUGUGAAACAAAUCAUUUUCAAGUUGUUAAAGGAAAUCGACACGUUUUUGCCAUUUUAUAUUUAUUACGGGCGCUUUUUUUCCCGUUUGCCAGCAGAUGUUGCCAAAAGUGUCAGGGUGCGAGAUGGGUGCUAAAUGCCAAUAAACCUAAUAUUUUUGAUGAUAUUUCUUGGGAUAAUGUCGAAGUGGUUCGGUAUUAGAAAAAUAUACAAAUAUCAGUUUACUUAAAUCGAAAUCUACUACAUUAGGUUCUUUUUUUAAAAACCUCUUUGGUUUAAUAACCUACCCCAAUUUGUAUCAAGUCUAAUCAUAAUAACAAAUUACCCAUAUCUUCCCAAUUUUACAAUGCAUUUACUACUUUAAGGAUCUGUCACACAUUCCUUGAUGGCAACUUCAAAGCUGCUGAAUACAGCCACUUGAAUAUGCAAAACAGGAUGAAAAAAAUCGUUUACGUUAGCUAUUUAACGGGGCGUUAGGGCGGCUGAAAAAAUCUCGUACUCAACACAUUAUAUUUAUGCAAUUUAAAAGAAGUGGGGGGCGUCAUAAAAUUAGUAAGCACGUGAGUGGCCCUGCCUUCAUUAUCAUAACAGAAAAUCAUGCAAAAUAUAGGUUUUCAGCGAAGGUUGGCAGUUUUCUGUAGGGUUUCAUCCCCACAUUUGCAAGUCAUAGUGAGGGUUUUAAAAAUCUACACCCCAUACAUUUUUUUAAAGGUCUAUAGUAUAAAUUCAAUUGUCAGCAAUGCAGUCUAGGAGUAUACAACUAUUAUAAUAUAAUAGUUAUGUUGUAGAAUCCAGGAACUUUUAAUGAAUCGGCAAUUACAGUUGGGCUAAAGCCUAGAUUGCAAUGUAAAUGUACAUUUCCACUAUAUAACCCACUUAACUUGAAAUAUUCUGUCAUCAAUGCAAAAAAAAUGUAUUAGAGUUGACGGUCAUUCGGAGGAUUUACUCACCGGCUGUUGGGACUCGGAGCAUGAGAACAGGUGGCCGAGUGUCCUGAUCCACUGGCGGUGGAACUUUUUGCCGGCUGACUAGCCGAAUCCCUGCCGGCGUCUGGCGGAGCUCCUCCUCCCGAUUCUCCACGUUGCUGCUGUGGUGCACUCAUGACUCGGAGUGCUUAGCAAUAUAAUGACAAUUCUAUUCCGUUAGGAAUAUGUUUAUAACAAUUAAGGCAUGUGCAAAUCACAAUUGGCCAGCGGACCGCGUUUGUACUGUUGAGGUGCAUUAAGUCGUACGAUUUUGAAUCGACAAGUUCCCUGAGAACAUAACUGCGUUCUGGUUUUGAUUUUUGCCCAAGAUAUUUCACAGCAAACAAAUUAAUUCAGAAAUAAAUCAAAUAAAAUCUAGAACGUUUAUAAAAUUUACGAGAGAGCGACACAAGCAGCUGACUUGUUAUCGAUUGCGAAGCGAAAAAGGCAUAGCGUUUCGGCGCUGCCACCUCGUUCCAAAAUCUGGCGGCAGUUCAAACUGGCAGAUGUGACUGUGACUGCUGGAAAAUUGAGUAUGCAAAAUGCUACCCUACAAUUAUUACGUUUUAGGUGAAUGGUCUUAAAAACCGUUAGGUAAAUAUAUAUAAUUUGCGAAUAAAUUCAUGAUUCUAAUAAAAAGAUUUACUUAGUUCGGAAAAUAUGUACAAUUUCCAACAUGUUUAUAACUAAACAAUCAAAAUUUAAAAAUGUUAAGGUCUUAAGAAAUCUAUUAAAUUAUCAAUGUGCAUGACGAUUUCGUUUGUUCGUUUGUAUUGUCUCGAAUUUAUGCUAAUGUGUUGACGCUUAUAUUCGUAAAAAUUUUCAUUUGCUUAGCAUCUUGUGUUUACUUUACGCGUCGAUUUUUCAUUUUGUUUUAUUUGUUUUCGUUCGGGGGUUCUCUUCGGGCCCUCUUUUACAUUUCCAUAAUUAUAUGCAUCAGCUGGCAGGUGACUGAAUGCAGAAGCAAAAGGACGAAUCGCAAAAAGAAUGAAUCCCGGAAAACAAUAAAAAGAAGGACUGGCGAGAACAAUUUUGUGCGGAGUCUGUACUUUCGUUAUCUUAAUGGCAGAAUAAACCCAACGUCAAACUGUAAAUAUUGACAUUUUUAAAUUAUAAUCAAAGUGAAUAAAUAAUAAAGCGAAACAUGAAAAACA